rnacentral:rRNA from 1 species
GAUGAACGCUGGCGGCGUGCCUAAUACAUGCAAGUCGAGCGAACAGAUGCGGAGCUUGCUCCACUGACGUUAGCGGCGGACGGGUGAGUAGCACGUGGAUAACCUACCUAUAAGACUUGGAUAACUUCGAGAAACCGGAGCUAAUACCGGAUAAUAUAUUUAACCGCAUGGUUCAAUAGUGAAAGCCGUUUUUGCUGUCACUUCUAGCUGUCUCCUCGCCGCAUUAGCUAGUUGGUACGGUAACGGCUUCGCAAGGCCACGAUGGGUGGCCGACCUGAGAGGGUGAUCGGCGACACUGGAACUGAGACACGGUCCAGACUCCUACGGGAGGCAGCAGUAGGGAAUCGUCCGAAAUGGGCGAAAGCCUGACGGAGCAACGCCGCGUUAGUGAUGAAGGUCUUCGGAGCGUAAAACUCUGUUAUGAGUGAAGAACAAAUGUGUAAGUAACGAUGCACGUUGUGACGGUACCUAGUCAGAAAGCCACGGCUAACUACGUG